rnacentral:tRNA from 1 species
GAGCCAUUAGCUCAGCUGGUAGAGCAUCUGACUUUUAAUCAGAGGGUCAGAGGUUCGAAUCCUCUAUAGCUCA